CCUACGGGAGGCAGCAGUGGGGAAUAUUGCACAAUGGGCGAAAGCCUGAUGCAGCGACGCCGCGUGAGGGAUGACGGCCUUCGGGUUGUAAACCUCUUUCAGCAGGGAAGAAGCGAAAGUGACGGUACCUGCAGAAGAAGCGCCGGCUAACUACGUGCCAGCAGCCGCGGUAAUACGUAGGGCGCAAGCGUUGUCCGGAAUUAUUGGGCGUAAAGAGCUCGUAGGCGGCUUGUCACGUCGGAUGUGAAAGCCCGAGGCUUAACCUCGGGUCUGCAUUCGAUACGGGCUAGCUAGAGUGUGGUAGGGGAGAUCGGAAUUCCUGGUGUAGCGGUGAAAUGCGCAGAUAUCAGGAGGAACACCGGUUGGCGAAGGCGGAUCUCUGGGCCAUUACUGACGCUGAGGAGCGAAAGCGUGGGGAGCGAACAGGAUUAGAUACCCUGGUAGUCCACGCCGUAAACGUUGGGAACUAGGUGUUGGCGACAUUCCACGUCGUCGGUGCCGCNGCUACGCAUACGUUACCGUCCGUCGGAGGUACGGCCGCGACGGACGUAAACCGUUAAACGUAAGUUAGACGGACGUAGAGACGNGCGACGACGACGACGAGGGAGGUAGG
rnacentral:rRNA from 1 species